CGUCAAGCCAAGGCCUCCAUCACCAUGCUUGUCUCUUGGACAGUUUGGAACGAGCGGAACACAAGGGUUUUUAAGCAUACGAGUGCCCCACCGCCAAUCUUGCUUUCGUCCAUCUUCACCGAGGCAAACCUUUGGGUCAUCACCGGAGCUAAGAAAUUAGGGUCUUUUAUCGCGCGCGAGUAA
rnacentral:rRNA from 1 species